rnacentral:rRNA from 1 species
ACGAACGCUGGCGGCGUGCCUAAUACAUGCAAGUCGCACGAGAGCGACCGGUGCUUGCACUGGUCAAUCUAGUGGCGAACGGGUGAGUAACCCGUGGGUAACCUGCCCAUCAGAGGGGGAUAACAUCCGGAAACGGAUGCUAAAACCGCAUAGGUCUUCGAACCGCAUGGUUUGAAGAGGAAAAGAGGCGCAAGCUUCUGCUGAUGGAUGGACCCGCGGUGCAUUAGCUAGUUGGUGAGGUAACGGCUCACCAAGGCCGUGAUGCAUAGCCGACCUGAGAGGGUGAUCGGCCACAUUGGAACUGAGACACGGCCCAGACUCCUACGGGAGGCAGCAGUAGGGAAUCUUCCGCAAUGGGCGCAAGUCUGACGGAGCAACGCCGCGUGAGUGAAGAAGGUUUUCGGAUCGUAAAACUCUGUUGUUAGAGAAGAACAAGUGCUAGAGUAACUGUUAGCGCCUUGACGGUAUCUAACCAGAAAGCCACGGCUAACUACGUG